CUCCCGCCACCGCGUCGUCGCCCUUCCGGCUGCUGGAGAGGCUCCCGGCCGGAGCCGCUUCUCCGUCUUUGUCUGCGUGAAGUCCGAGUGCCUCUGAUCCGGCUUCCACCUUCUGCUGGGUGGCACAGACGUGUUUUCCCCGCCCGGAGCAGGGUUCGCGUUUUCUGCUCCCCCCCAGCAGCGGCCCCGGAGCUGGUGUGAGCGUUACUGUAUGUCCCUUCGUUCCGGGCUGGGUAGAUAAAACGGAUCGCUAGUACAAGCUCCAGGCCAGCAGUAUUUAUUUGUUUUAGAAAAAGAAAAAUGAGUAAAACUAAUAUUUAGAUCUCAGGAAGGGACUUUGUAGCCUUUUGCACGGAAUCGGGCCUGUGAUUCCCCAGUCCGUAAGCAAUAAAACAUGUGAAACAAAGUUUCCUUUCUAUGCUGGGAUUUUUCCACCUCAGUUGUUUGCUCAAAUUACCUCAUACUCCACCCUGGAUCCUCUGUGGCGAGCUCUUCUCUGGCACCGACAGGCCUCUGAUGUGCUUUUCUGACUUUCAGCAAACAAACAAGCACAUCCUGUGCAGCGAACACGCGUGGUGCCAAAUAAUCCUGUUUACAGCCGGACAGACGAGGGCUCUGCUCCGGGAGGUCGCUCACCUCCAUCGUCGAGCUUCACCUGCGCUGAGCGUCUCCCGAAGCCUGGGAGCAGGAGAGGAGCGGGUGCAUCGGACGCGGAGAACGUGGCCCGGUGGUGCUUUUAAAAGAGCACAGGGAUAGCUUGCACUUACGUACCGGAGUGGAACUGUUGUCCCAUAAGCUAUUUUUUUCUGCGAUUACAUAUCUGCCAGAAUAUAUUCCUUUUUCUUCCUCUGUCCCCUGGAGAGUCUCUCCUCCUUUGCAUGGGGAGUGGGCAUCAGGAGAGAAGCCUGCACAGCUUAAGUGCAUUAUUGAAAGGAAAAAUUAUGCUAAAAAGGCUGAGAGUGCCUGAUAUAAAGCCUGGGAAGCAAUUUGGGGAGAGCACAGUGUGCUCGCCAUAAUGGAGCAAGGCCAGAUCAGGCCAGCGUCGUCUCGGGGUCCCCCGCGAGGGGAGGAUCAGGGCGUUAGCUUCGAGACAGCUCUCCUCUGAAGAUGCAUUUCCUUUCUCUAGCAGCUCUCGUAGCACGCAGAGCGUCCCUUUGCCGAACCGUGGAGCUGAAUUUCUUAUGAGCUGUCGGCUUCUCCGAGCCAUUCGCUCGCCCCAGCCCCUCCAGCUGCCCUUUCCAGCUAGCAGCUCUUUGGGAGCGCUGGAUCGUGAGGUCUGGCAGCAGAGGCGCUUGGAGAAGCAACGCCGCGCGCUCGGACCGCCGCACGCUGGGAAGCUCUGGGUUGCCUCGGGCAGGAGGAUGGGGCCACCUUGAUGUUGCUGCGCCGUUAGCGGAGCUGUAUGAAUUAUACAUCACACGCUGCCGGGCUCUUUGGUUACAACCGGCAGCAGCACACAACGCACAUCCAAAAGCUUGGUGGCCUGGGAUGAGGCUAAGGGGUGCAAGGAGAGGACUCUGGGACUGGGGCUUGGGGACUGCAGGGGAGACGCGGAGCUGGGUCCCGGUUCAGCGGAGCCUCCCGCUGUGCCGUGCACCAAUUCCUUAACCUCUCUGCAAAGUGGGAGCCUGGUUUCUGAAAUCCUGGGGUGUCAUGGGAUACCCAUCCUGCUGCAAAGCAUGGCAGAGCGCGCUCCCAGUGAAGUGCACUACAGACCUCUGUGGCCUUUAGCCUGAGGUUCUGUGCAAGCACCAAAUAAAUAGUAUUUAUUAAUUAUUAGUGCUGCUUCUUCCCAACAGAAGAGAUUUGGACUCCGGUGGUGAGUUAUUUCCUUGCUGGGGGAGAAGUGAGUGGGUACAGACACCGGAUGUUAUUUCCCAGUCACUAUUUAUUUACAGCAUACACGUAGUUCCUGGUUUUGUUUAAGCGGGGAUGGAUAUUAAAAAGCAAAACGGCACCACUCACAGAGUGGGAAAGAGCGGUCGUGUUCAGACCCUCACCACAUUUCCAGAGUGGGCUUGCAGGACGUAAAGCGCCCCUGGCCACCCAGAUCACCCGCUCUGAGCCAGCUCUUCCCACAUUGGGACAUCCUCAAGGGACCUUUCCGUCUCUUAAUACCUGCUGAUUCUUCCGUUCACAAAAGGCAACGAGGGGACUGUUUUCUAAUUGCUUGUGCUGUGCAUUGGACCUCACCUUCUCCAUAGGUGGACCCACUCCUAAUCAGCUGGGAGAACUAAUUGUAAUUGUGUUUUUUUCACGCAGCAACAAGGGAAAAAAGAGAGUGUAAUGCCAAAAGAAAAACACAGUUGGAAAAACAGCAGAAUGUUAGGUACUCAGGUAGUGGGAAAGCAUUGCAAGCUAUUUUUAACUACCAUUUUGAAAUCAGUUAGAUUUGUUUGACAUUUUCCCUUUGAACUGAAAUAGGCAUAUUGAUCACAUCGGCUCUCGCUGGCUGCGUAGUUUAAUCUUCUUCCCCGCUCAGUUUUUUCCUUCCGGAGAGUUAGAGCACUUUGCAUUUCUGCCUCGCCUUCUGGUUGAUGAUGGCCCAGUGUUUUCCAAACCUUCGGAUGGCUUGUGCAGCCUCUAAUGAGAGAGGUGAGUCUUCAUGUCUCUUUUGGAGGUGGAGAGGCACAAAGGUUAAGAUAUCCCCAUGCACACAGCUGUUUGGUGGUUGAGCUGAAGACAGAGCCAAGAUCUGAUCAUUUCUUUUUGUUCCCAGACCACUAAUCUAUGCUUUUUUUCUGUAUCCACUGUGCGAUGUCUUCCUUCAGCCAUCCACAAUCCAGAGGCUUGAAGAUGUCUUCUAGAUGUUCAGAGAUCAGAAGCUGCACUGCUGGGAAGCAGCUUUCUUGGAGAUACAGAAACGGAAAGAGGUCUUCAUGGCUGAAUUCGCGAGUGUAAGAGCUGAAAAAUGGCCCAGUAUACCAAAGAAAGUAGAAAAACUUUAGGGAGCAAACUCAGAGAAGGAGGCAAUGUUGUUAUGAACAAUCUUUAAACACAGUGAUCAGGCCUGUUGGUGCAACCAAGGGCCCUGCAUGUCGAUGCGGGCAGUGAAUCCUGCUGUUCGUAUUGGUUUAGAUGCUCUGGACUGUGGAGCAGUUGUGAAAUAGCAAAGCGAAUCCAGCAGUCUCUGUCUGAGCAGUCCCCAGGUCUGCCAGAGGCGUUACCAGCACUCAUCCUGGCUGGAAGUGCCGCUCUUGGCAUUGCACAGGUUCCUCUGAAACUGCGGGAAAUGAGCUGCCUUUUCAGACCCCUUUCGUGAGAAGUGCUGGAUUCCAGCGUGCAGCAUCAUCGCGUUUCACGCUGACGCACUGUCCUGUCUAGAGGUUUGGUUUCUCCUUUUUCUCCCUCACCUUAACUCCAUGCUAUGCAAAGCAGGUCUAUCUGAUCUGAGCCAUCUGGUCCAGUUCAAUACGAAUAUUCCUAGAACAGGAAACUUUCCUGGGGCUGUAAAUAUGUUGCCUAUUUCCUAUAAAUACUUUUGCCUUUGCCCGUUAGUUAGAAACAAGCCGAGCGUCUGAAGUCCUCCCGGUUCCUCUAGCAGUGCUUUCCAAAUUGCAGGCACCGCCUGGCACAGCGUCUGAGCCGUGGUCUGAGCCAUGCAGCCUUCGGCCCUUGGCUCGCCACUCUUGGGUGGAGCACUGUCUCCAGCAGCCGUAAAAACAGUCCCUGCAGCUUUUCCCAACCAGACCAGUUGCGUGGGGUGGUUACAAUUCAGAUGAGUCUAUUUGUUACUCAGUUGUUAUGCAGAUGUGACAAAUCUGUUAACAUUUACAUGGAUUCUCGUAGGUGCUGGGAGCUGUGUGUGUCUGCCAGACUGGAAACCUGUUGUGAGCGUCAACUCAGCCACCUUCUCUCCUGGUUUUUUGUUCUGUAUUGAAAUAAUGCUCAGGAGAUGGUGGGAGAAGUUCCCGCGCUGUGCCUGGAGCAGGGGGUCUCUCAGGCGUGGCUGUGUGUUCAGCUGAAGCACUGUGCACAAAGCAAGGUGCAACCUGGCCUGCAAGUCUUAACUCAAGGGAGCAGCAGAAAGAAGUAGAUAAUCAGGAUGGUUCCUCUGAUGGGCCAGUCUGAAGGUCGCCUAUGAGAGAGGUUCGUGAGGCGGAGGCGGAUGGCUCAGCCUGGAGCCGAGGGCUAGACCCAUGAAUAUUUUUGCAUAAAAGCAGCAAGGAAAGCGAUGCAGAGAGCUGAAUGCCCAGGCUGGAUUUUGUUGGGAUGAGGAUGGUUCCGGUGUUUGGCUCUUGCUGGAGAGCAGCGUGUGCUGGGAGAGGAGGGGGUUACGCCGCAGGGCAGUCAGGGGGCUGGUGCUGAUCCCGACGGCCCCCAGCCGCGGGGCCCCGAGGUGCUUGUGAAGGGACGGUAGAGAAAGCGGAGAGCAUGCCAGAGGCCAGAGGCAACGCAGACCCGCCAGCUCACGUGAGGGACGGUGGCAGAGCCAGGCAGCAGCCAGCGACCGCUCAGAUUAGGGAGCUUUCCCAGGGCCUUGACGUCCCCGGUCUGUCUGCUGCAGGGAGGCCCCUUGGCAGGCUCGUGGAAGUAACCCAGCCUUUGCCGCGGGACGUGUGAAGAACAGCUAUUAGUUAGCAAGGGAUCAAGAACCUGCUAUUUAUAAUCUAUAACGCUUGUCUGUGACUGUGAGGGACACCUGAGCUGCUCCCUGAGUGCAUGUUCAGGCUGCUCCUUUUUGGCAUUCCUCCAUCUCCAGCCUGGAGCACGCCUCAGUCGCCAGCCUCACACCACGUGAAGCCUUCAGCAAGUCAUCUCCCCCUCCCUGUAAAUGAAGCAGGUGCAUCUGAGGCAGAAUUUAAGGGCUUUAAAAGGAAAUUUAUAGGAGCUGUGUUUUAUCGACUGUUUCCUGAAUAAUUUAUGGCAGUGAUCCAAUUAUGGAGGGAUUGCAAAGUGGAGAGGCGAGGACAAAGCAGGAGCCAUUGAUUUCUGGAUAAGAGCAUUUAUCCAAGUAAACCUCUGGGGUUUGUAAGGAAGCGGGUGAUCGAGGAGUCGCUCGGCUGAUGUCAGCCUCAGAAAUAACGCACGGUGCCGCAAAGAAGGUCCCUAGCACUGCAGCGCUGCCGGCUUUGCAGAGCUGCCUGAUGAGGGCAGCAGAAAUUAGAGUGGUGAGCACAGUGCUGAUGUUUUGGUAGCACAUUUAUGAACUUUGCUAACCCAUAUUUCCCUCUCGGGGUGUUUUGCUUGUCUCGAUAGUGUCAGCCUUAUGCUUACAAGAAGGAAGCAAAUAGCUAAACCAGUGUAUUGUGCAGAGCAGGCUGUAUUUGUGCAAAGGAAGAGUGUGAGCCUCUGCUAGAGCUGAGAAGGGAUUCCAGGUCACCUACACGUAUGGAUGGGGACGCAAGGAACACAGGAGACAUCUGCAAGUGAUGAGCAAGCGGUCACGUACACGUUAGCUGAGGUGCCUUUGCAGAGUUGCUGCCCGAGAGUUCCUGCUAACCUUGAAUUGGCCCCAUUUGCAGCUGCCGCCUGAGUGAUUUUACACGAAGCCGAUGCGGUAGCUGUAAUAAGAACGGGUAUAGAUUGAACAAGGAGCUAAAAAUAACAAAGAAUCAAUAAUUGUA